rnacentral:rRNA from 1 species
CUUUGGUGGCGACCGGCGCACGGGUGCGUAACGCGUAUGUAACCUACCUAUAACAGGGGCAUAACACUGAGAAAUUGGUACUAAUUCCCCAUAAUAUUCGGAGAGGCAUCUCUCCGGGUUGAAAACUCCGGUGGUUAUAGAUGGACAUGCGUUGUAUUAGCUAGUUGGUGAGGUAACGGCUCACCAAGGCAACGAUACAUAGGGGGACUGAGAGGUUAACCCCCCACACUGGUACUGAGACACGGACCAGACUCCUACGGGAGGCAGCAAUG